GAUGAAGAACGCAGCGAAAUGCGAUAAGUAAUGUGAAUUGCAGAAUUCAGUGAAUCAUCGAAUCUUUGAACGCACAUUGCGCCCGGCAGUAAUCUGCCGGGCAUGCCUGUCCGAGCGUCAUUUCACCCCUCGAGCCGCUUUUAGUGGAUCGGUGUUGGGGCACUACGGUAAAACGUAGGCCCUGAAAUGAAGUGGCGGUCCCGCCGCGGUGCCCCCAUGCGUAGUAACGUUUAGUCUCGCUUCGGGUCCCGGCGGAGGCCUGCCGUCAAGCCUAUUUAUUCUCAGAAUAGUUUGACCCCGGAUCAGGUAGGGUUACCCGCUGAACUUAAGCAUAUCAAUAAGCGGAGGA
rnacentral:misc_RNA from 1 species